GUGGAUAUUGGCGAUAAUUGAUCCAUUAUAGGAGUAGGGUAUGCAUCAAGAUAGGAUCUAUCAACCUUGAUAGAGAGGAGUAGUCCUAUGAGAUUUGAGAAGCUAAGUCUAUGAAUUUGUUGCCACAAUAGAGUAAAUGAUGGAAAAAAAAUUUAUGGACAUCACAUUUGGACUUGAGCUAAUCGAAUCUAUCAUAUAACAGAUGUUGAGGUUUGACGAUUUAUCUAUGACCUGCUAUCU
rnacentral:lncRNA from 1 species